rnacentral:rRNA from 1 species
AUUGAACGCUGGCGGCAGGCUUAACACAUGCAAGUCGAGCGGAGAUGAGGUGCUUGCACCUUAUCUUAGCGGCGGACGGGUGAGUAAUGCUUAGGAAUCUGCCUAUUAGUGGGGGACAACAUUCCGAAAGGAAUGCUAAUACCGCAUACGUCCUACGGGAGAAAGCAGGGGAUCUUCGGACCUCGCGCUAAUAGAUGAGCCUAAGUCGGAUUAGCUAGUUGGUGGGGUAACGGCCUACCAAGGCGACGAUCUGUAGCGGGUCUGAGAGGAUGAUCCGCCACACUGGGACUGAGACACGGCCCAGACUCCUACGGGAGGCAGCAGUGGGGAAUAUUGGACAAUGGGGGAAACCCUGAUCCAGCCAUGCCGUGUGUGUGAAGAAGGCCUUAUGGUUGUAAAGCACUUUAAGCGAGGAGGAGGCUACUGAGACUAAUACUCUUGGAUAGUGGACGUUACUCGCAGAAUAAGCACCGGCUAACUCUGUGCCAGCCGCCGCGGUAAGAC